rnacentral:lncRNA from 1 species
UCAAACAUAUAAACGUUAGUUAGUAGGGACACCGACGUUUAUAAUAUUAUAGACGUCGGGGCUUCUCCUAACCGAUGUCUAUAUGCUCACUUAUUUACGAAAAUACCACCGGUCAAUAAUUUACGUUAAGUGUUUUCUGGUCCGACAUCUAUGGGAUGACGUUAAAGUCCAAUUUUGCACUAGUAAUAACCUAAAACUCUCAUCUUUCUUCUUAACUAACAAAAUCAAAGUUCCCUAAAGUGAUACACUAA